GCAGUGGUGGUUCAGUGGUAGAAUUUUCGCCUACCAUGCGGGAGACAGGAGUUCAAUUCCCAGCCAAUGCA
rnacentral:tRNA from 1 species